CAAAAACUCCCUUAGCCGGAGUAGAAAUGGGAUCUGUUGAUGGUGUCGGGGAACUCAGGAAACAUGGAAGGAAGCAGAGCCUUCUGGUGCGAAGUGCACUGAACUACCAGGGUGCUUGCCCCAGCAGACCACGGCAAAGUGACCUCGCUUCUGGAGGUGUCAGAAGAGUCCAUCCACGGAGGCAGAGGCAAUUAAGUCAGAGCCCUUUGACUAUCCUUCCCAAUCCAAGACUGCGCUCAAGAUGAAGCGUUGGCAAAUUGCGGUCCAGAGUGGGCCAAUCCUGUCACAAGUCGAGCAUGGCCUUUAUGUCUCUCAAUGGGGAAAAAAAAAAUCAAGAACAAAGUCGUACUUUGUGAUUCAUGGAAAUGAUCUGACUUCAGAUUUCAGUGUCUACAAAUAAAGUUUUAUUGGAA
rnacentral:lncRNA from 1 species